GUCAGGAACCUCUGCCUCAAGGCGGGGGCUUGCUUCAGCAAGCCUGAACCUGACCAGUCUCAGCCAGGGCAGACUUGAUGGAUAGAAUCAUCAAGGCAAUCGGGCUACGUUAAAUAGGUACGUUGGAGUGCAUGCCGGCCCCAACCGCUACGGUGCAACAUUAAACAGGCGUAGAGGGUGAAGCCAGUGUGUUGUACACCAAACCGUUUUUAACAUUGACGAGGCAACCAUUAC
rfam:Ktedonobacter racemifer DSM 44963 strain SOSP1-21 Krac_Contig206, whole genome shotgun sequence.